UACGUAGGGUGCAAGCGUUAAUCGGAAUUACUGGGCGUAAAGCGUGCGCAGGCGGUUUUGUAAGUCUGUCGUGAAAUCCCCGGGCUCAACCUGGGGAUUGCGAUGGAGACUGCAAGGCUAGAAUCUGGCAGAGGGGGGUAGAAUUCCACGUGUAGCAGUGAAAUGCGUAGAGAUGUGGAGGAACACCGAUGGCGAAGGCAGCCCCCUGGGUCAAGAUUGACGCUCAUGCACGAAAGCGUGGGGAGCAAACAGG
rnacentral:rRNA from 1 species